CUGAGAGGUCGGGGUGCCCGAAAGGCCGAACACAGGUGCUGCAUGGCUGUCGUCAGCUCGUGUCGUGAGAUGUUGGGUUAAGUCCCGCAACGAGCGCAACCCUUGUUCCAUGUUGCUAGCACGCAAUGGUGAGGACUCAAGGGAGACUGCCGGGGUCAACCCGGAGGAAGGUGGGGAUGACGUCAAGUCAUCAUGCCCCUUAUGGCUAGGGCUUCACACGUGAUACAAUGGCCGGAACAGAGGGUCGCCAACCCGCGAGGGGGAGCCAAUCCCAGAAAACCGAUCGUAGUCCGGAUCGCACUCUGCAACUCGACUGCGUGAAGCUGGAAUCGCUAGUAAUCGCGGAUCAGCAAUGCCGCGGUGAAUACGUUCCCGGGUCUUGUACACACCGCCCGU
rnacentral:rRNA from 1 species